UACGUAGGGGGCAAGCGUUGUCCGGAAUCAUUGGGCGUAAAGAGCGUGUAGGCGGCCCGAUAAGUCCGCUGUGAAAGUCCAGGGCUCAACCCUGGGAUGCCGGUGGAUACUGUCGGGCUCGAGUCCGGAAGAGGAGUGUGGAAUUCCUGGUGUAGCGGUGGAAUGCGCAGAUAUCAGGAGGAACACCGAUAGCGAAGGCAGCUCGCUGGGACGGUACUGACGCUGAGGUGCGAAAGCGUGGGGAGCGAACAGG
rnacentral:rRNA from 1 species